rnacentral:tRNA from 1 species
GGGCCUAUAGCUCAGUCGGUUAGAGCGCGCCCUGAUAAGGCGGAGGUCACUGGUUCAAGUCCAGUUAGGCCCA